GGUGUGCGCGACCUUCAUUCACAAACGUCUCUCUACACUUUUAAGUUUAUAACAACGAUAUAAAAACACGUUAUAAUAUUUCGCAUACUUAAAAAAUGCAGCGUUUAUUUGAUCUUGCUGAAGCAAACUGUCACUGAUGUAAACACGACAGCUUUUUGUGACGUGAGACUACCAGAAAUGAAUGUUGUUCAGGAUCCAGGAUUAUGUCAUAUACAGAGAAAUAAUGAUAAGAUGAGAUGACCUACCAACCAUGAUGUCCAACUGUGAUCCAGUCUCUGAGGUUAUAUGACAUGAAAAUAAGAUCACAAAACACAAUUGUCAAUAUGCACUACAUCAAUCGUAUACAGUAUCUAUGACUGCUCAGAAGCACUUAAAUGUAGAGAAGUCAAAAAAAUUUUAUAUUAAAAACGAAUUGCAUAGCCGAGAUCUGAAGAUUGUUAUAGAAAAAUGUAAAUCUUCAUUACAGAUGACAGAAUAUGUAUGGCCUUUCUACUGUAUGAGAAAUCAGGAGACUCAUUUAAAUCUCAUUGCUCUCCACAGUCGAAACUAUUGCUGAAAUAAAGAGAUUAAAUUGCCUAAGUUUUACUUACCAUCAUUGU